GACGAACGCUGGCGGCGUGCUUAACACAUGCAAGUCGAACGGAAAGGCCCUGCUUGCAGGGUACUCGAGUGGCGAACGGGUGAGUAACACGUGGGUGAUCCGCCCUGCACUUCGGGAUAAGCCUGGGAAACUGGGUCUAAUACCGGAUAGGAGCCAUUUUUAGUGUGAUGGUUGGAAAGUUUUUUCGGUGUAGGAUGAGCUCGCGGCCUAUCAGCUUGUUGGUGGGGUAAUGGCCUACCAAGGCGGCGACGGGUAGCCGGCCUGAGAGGGUGGACGGCCACAUUGGGACUGAGAUACGGCCCAGACUCCUACGGGAGGCAGCAGUGGGGAAUAUUGCACAAUGGGCGCAAGCCUGAUGCAGCGACGCCGCGUGGGGGAUGACGGCCUUCGGGUUGUAAACUCCUUUCGCUAGGGACGAAGCUUCUUGUGACGGUACCUAGAUAAGAAGCACCGGCUAACUACGUG
rnacentral:rRNA from 1 species